UUAGAGAUACCUGCAAGUUCG
rnacentral:miRNA from 1 species